UACAGAGGUGCCGAGCGUUAGGCGGAAUCACUGGGCUUAAAGCGUGUGUAGGCGGACGUCUAAGUACCUUGUGAAAUCCCACGGCUCACCCGUGGAACUGCUGGGUAUACUGGGCGUCUUGAGCCACCUAGGGGCCAGCGGAACAAAUGGUGGAGCGGUGAAAUGCGUAGAUAUCAUUUGGAACGCCAACGGUGAAAACAGCUGGCUGGGGGUGUGCUGACGCUGAGGCACGAAAGCCAGGGGAGCAAACGGG
rnacentral:rRNA from 1 species